rnacentral:rRNA from 1 species
UACGGAGGAUCCAAGCGUUAUCCGGAUUUAUUGGGUUUAAAGGGUGCGUAGGCGGCCUGUUAAGUCAGGGGUGAAAGACGGUAGCUUAACUAUCGCAGUGCCCUUGAUACUGAUGGGCUUGAAUAUACUAGAGGUAGGCGGAAUGUGACAAGUAGCGGUGAAAUGCAUAGAUAUGUCACAGAAUACCAAUUGCGAAGGCAGCUUACUAUGGUAUUAUUGACGCUGAGGCACGAAAGCGUGGGGAUCAAACAGG